rnacentral:lncRNA from 10 species
UUUUUUUGGUAGAAACAGGUUCUCCCUAUGUUGCCCAAGCUGGUCCUGAACCCCUAGCCUCAAGUAAUCCUCCUGCUUCAACCUACCAAAGCAUUGGGAUUACAAGUUUGACCCACCAUGGUCAGUCCAGGGUAGGAAAUGGAAUCUUAACAACUAUCACACGAGCUUUGAGGGGAUCCUUCUCCAGAUGAGCCUUCAGUUGCGACCUCAGCCUUGGACAUCAUCUGCAUCUGGAUUCCUGACCCAGAGCAACUGAAUUUUAUGGAACCUUGUAUUCUGUUGAAUACCAGAAUUAUAUCAGCAAUCCCCAAGUCACCAAAUGGGCAUCAUCAUGACAGCAGGUUUGGAAUAGUUCACCAGUGAAGUCAUCUCAACCAGCACAGGGCCUUGACUCCUAACAACAAUCACACGAACUUGGAAGAGGAUCCUUCCCCAGCUGAAACUUCACUUGAGACCUUCUCAUUGGCCAUCAUCGACAUCUGGAUUCAUGAUACAGAGAAACUUGAGUAAUGAUGACAAUAGCAGUCCAGCCUGCAUGGAUGCUGACAUGGAUGCUGUCUCCCAUUCUUACCACUGGAUGUCAAGAACUGCUAGAUGCGAUCCAGCCAGUCUGUACUCGACUCUCAGUUCCAUCUUCUCAACUCACAGUGUCUUCCAAAGUCCAUGCCACACCACAGCCUGGAAGAUCUCCCAAGGUGGUAUCUUGAGGCAAUGGUAGAGCUCAUGUCACAGUAUUGUAUGCCUCAGGCUUUGAAUAACUCACCAGUGAAGUCAUCUUGACCUGGACAGAAAUUGAAUCCUCCCAAGAAUCCCAGGAGCUUGGAAGGGGAUCCUUCCCCAGAUGAGCCUUCCCUUGAAAUCUCUGCCAGGCAUCUGACCCAGAGAAACU